CGAAAGCCUGACGGAGCAAGACCGCGUGAGGGAGGAAGGCUCUUGGGUUGUAAACCUCUUUUCUCAGGGAAGAAGCUCUGACGGUACCUGAGGAAUCAGCCUCGGCUAACUCCGUGCCAGCAGCCGCGGUAAUACGGAGGAGGCAAGCGUUAUCCGGAAUUAUUGGGCGUAAAGCGUCCGCAGGUGGCGAUUCAAGUCUGCUGUCAAAGCACGGGGCUUAACUCCGUAAAGGCAGUGGAAACUGCACCACUAGAGGGCAGUAGGGGUAGAGGGAAUUCCCGGUGUAGCGGUGAAAUGCGUAGAUAUCGGGAAGAACACCAGUGGCGAAAGCGCUCUACUGGACUGCAACUGACACUGAGGGACGAAAGCUAGGGGAGCG
rnacentral:rRNA from 1 species